rnacentral:rRNA from 1 species
GACGAACGCUGGCGGCGUGCUUAACACAUGCAAGUCGAACGGUAAGGCCCUUCGGGGUACACGAGUGGCGAACGGGUGAGUAACACGUGGGUGAUCUGCCCUGCACUUCGGGAUAAGCCUGGGAAACUGGGUCUAAUACCGGAUAGGACCACUGCCUGCAUGGGUGGUGGUGGAAAGCUUUUGCGGUGUGGGAUGGGCCCGCGGCCUAUCAGCUUGUUGGGGGGGUGAUGGCCUACCAAGGCGACGACGGGUAGCCGGCCUGAGAGGGUGACCGGCCACACUGGGACUGAGAUACGGCCCAGACUCCUACGGGAGGCAGCAGUGGGGAAGAUUGAACAAUGGGCGCAAGCCUGAUGCAGCGACGCCGCGUGAGGGAUGACGGCCUUCGGGUUGUAAACCUCUUUCAGCACCGACGAAGCGCAAGUGACGGUAGGUGCAGAAGAAGGACCGGCCAACUACGUGCCAGCCGCCGCCGUAAUAC